GAUGAACGCUGGCGGCGUGCCUAAUACAUGCAAGUCGAGCGAACGGACGAGAAGCUUGCUUCUCUGAUGUUAGCGGCGGACGGGUGAGUAACACGUGGAUAACCUACCUAUAAGACUGGGAUAACUUCGGGAAACCGGAGCUAAUACCGGAUAAUAUUUUGAACCGCAUGGUUCAAAAGUGAAAGACGGUCUUGCUGUCACUUAUAGAUGGAUCCGCGCUGCAUUAGCUAGUUGGUAAGGUAACGGCUUACCAAGGCAACGAUGCAUAGCCGACCUGAGAGGGUGAUCGGCCACACUGGAACUGAGACACGGUCCAGACUCCUACGGGAGGCAGCAGUAGGGAAUCUUCCGCAAUGGGCGAAAGCCUGACGGAGCAACGCCGCGUGAGUGAUGAAGGUCUUCGGAUCGUAAAACUCUGUUAUUAGGGAAGAACAUAUGUGUAAGUAACUGUGCACAUCUUGACGGUACCUAAUCAGAAAGCCACGGCUAACUACGUGCCAGCAGCCGCGGUAAUACGUAGGUGGCAAGCGUUAUCCGGAUUUAUUGGGCGUAAAGCGCGCGUAGGCGGUUUCUUAGUCUGAUGUGAAAGCCCACGGCUCAACCGUGGAGGGUCAUUGGAAACUGGAAAACUUGAGUGCAGAAGAGGAAAGUGGAAUUCCAUGUGUAGCGGUGAAAUGCGCAGAGAUAUGGAGGAACACCAGUGGCGAAGGCGACUUUCUGGUCUGUAACUGACGCUGAUGUGCGAAAGCGUGGGGAUCAAACAGGAUUAGAUACCCUGGUAGUCCACGCCGUAAACGAUGAGUGCUAAGUGUUAGGGGGUUUCCGCCCCUUAGUGCUGCAGCUAACGCAUUAAGCACUCCGCCUGGGGAGUACGACCGCAAGGUUGAAACUCAAAGGAAUUGACGGGGACCCGCACAAGCGGUGGAGCAUGUGGUUUAAUUCGAAGCAACGCGAAGAACCUUACCAAAUCUUGACAUCCUUUGACAACUCUAGAGAUAGAGCCUUCCCCUUCGGGGGACAAAGUGACAGGUGGUGCAUGGUUGUCGUCAGCUCGUGUCGUGAGAUGUUGGGUUAAGUCCCGCAACGAGCGCAACCCUUAAGCUUAGUUGCCAUCAUUAAGUUGGGCACUCUAAGUUGACUGCCGGUGACAAACCGGAGGAAGGUGGGGAUGACGUCAAAUCAUCAUGCCCCUUAUGAUUUGGGCUACACACGUGCUACAAUGGACAAUACAAAGGGCAGCGAAACCGCGAGGUCAAGCAAAUCCCAUAAAGUUGUUCUCAGUUCGGAUUGUAGUCUGCAACUCGACUACAUGAAGCUGGAAUCGCUAGUAAUCGUAGAUCAGCAUGCUACGGUGAAUACGUUCUCGGGUCU
rnacentral:rRNA from 1 species